rnacentral:rRNA from 1 species
UAGGGAAUCUUCGGCAAUGGACGAAAGUCUGACCGAGCAACGCCGCGUGAGUGAAGAAGGUUUUCGGAUCGUAAAACUCUGUUGUUAGAGAAGAACAAGGACGUUAGUAACUGAACGUCCCCUGACGGUAUCUAACCAGAAAGCCACGGCUAACUACGUGCCAGCAGCCGCGGUAAUACGUAGGUGGCAAGCGUUGUCCGGAUUUAUUGGGCGUAAAGCGAGCGCAGGCGGUUUCUUAAGUCUGAUGUGAAAGCCCCCGGCUCAACCGGGGAGGGUCAUUGGAAACUGGGAGACUUGAGUGCAGAAGAGGAGAGUGGAAUUCCAUGUGUAGCGGUGAAAUGCGUAGAUAUAUGGCGGAACACCAGUGGCGAUGGCGGCUCUCUGGUCAGUAACUGACGCUGAGGCUCGAAAGCGUGGGGAGCAAACAGG